CACGUAGGGCGCAAGCGUUGUCCGGAAUUAUUGGGCGUAAAGAGCGUGUAGGCGGCCAGGUAGGUCCGCUGUGAAAACUCGAGGCUCAACCUCGAGAUGUCGGCGGAAACCAUCUGGCUAGAGUCCGGAAGAGGAGAGUGGAAUUCCUGGUGUAGCGGUGAAAUGCGCAGAUAUCAGGAAGAACACCCGUGGCGAAGGCGGCUCUCUGGGACGGUACUGACGCUGAGACGCGAAAGCGUGGGGAGCGAACAGG
rnacentral:rRNA from 1 species